GACGAACGCUGGCGGCGUGCUUAACAUAUGCAAGUCGAGCGGUAAGGCCCUUUCGGGGGUACGACGAGCGGCGAACGGGUAGGAGUAACAACGUGGGUGGACCUCGCCCUCCAGCUCUGGGAGUAAGACCUCGGGAAACCGGGGUCUAAUACUGGAUAUGACUCCAUGACGGCAUGUUGGUGGGGUGGAAAGCCUUGUGCGGCUGAGGAUGGGCCCGCGGCCUAUCAGCUUGUUGGUGGGGUGANGG
rnacentral:rRNA from 1 species